rnacentral:rRNA from 1 species
UGCCUACGGGAGGCUGCAGUGGGGAAUCUUGCACAAUGGGGGAAACCCUGAUGCAGCGACGCCGCGUGAGCGAUGAAGCCCUUCGGGGUGUAAAGCUCUUUCGACGGGAACGAUAAUGACGGUACCCGGAGAAGAAGCUGCGGCUAACUACGUGCCAGCAGCCGCGGUAAUACGUAGGCAGCAAGCGUUGUUCGGAAUUACUGGGCGUAAAGAGUGCGUAGGCGGUGCUUUAAGUUUGGUGUGAAAUCUCCCGGCUUAACUGGGAGGGUGCGCCGAAGACUGGAGUGCUUGAGUGUGGGAGAGGAAAGCGGAAUUCCUGGUGUAGCGGUGAAAUGCGUAGAUAUCAGGAGGAACACCUGCGGUGUAGACGGCUUUCUGGACCAUGACUGACGCUGAGGCACGAAAGCGUGGGUAGCAAACAGGAUUAGAUACCCUGGUAGUC